AGAGUUUGAUCAUGGCUCAGGACGAACGCUGGCGGCGUGCCUAAUACAUGCAAGUCGAGCGGAUUGAUUUGGAGCUUGCUCCAAUGAUGUCAGCGGCGGACGGGUGAGUAACACGUGGGUAACCUGCCUGACAGACUGGGAUAACGCUUGGAAACGAGUGCUAAUACCGGAUAGGCUUUUGGAUCGCAUGAUUCGAAAGGGAAAGAGGCUAUCGCCUCACUGUUAGAUGGACCCGCGGCGCAUUAGCUAGUUGGUGAGGUAACGGCUCACCAAGGCGACGAUGCGUAGCCGACCUGAGAGGGUGACCGGCCACACUGGGACUGAGACACGGCCCAGACUCCUACGGGAGGCAGCAGUAGGGAAUCUUCCACAAUGGGCGCAAGCCUGAUGGAGCAACGCCGCGUGAGUGAUGAAGGCCUUCGGGUUGUAAAACUCUGUCUUCUGUGACGAAACAGUGCGUGAGUGGAAAGCUCGCACCUUGACGGUAACAGAGGAGGAAGCCACGGCUAACUACGUGCCAGCAGCCGCGGUAAUACGUAGGUGGCAAGCGUUGUCCGGAAUCACUGGGCGUAAAGCGCGCGCAGGCGGCGAUCUACGUCUGGGGUGAAAGCCCGGAGCUCAACUCCGGGACUGCCUUGGAUACGGGAUCGCUUGAGGAUUGGAGAGGCAAGGGGAAUUCCACGUGUAGCGGUGAAAUGCG
rnacentral:rRNA from 1 species